CUGCGCUCUCCUUCGCCUGCGGGCCGGCACUGCUCACCUCUCGUCCAGAGACAUGACGGGCACGCCAGGCGCCGCUGCCACCCGGGAUGGCGAGGCCCCCGAGCGCUCCCCGCCCUGCCGUCCGAGCUACGACCUCACGGGCAAGAACAAGGUGGUGACCGUGGAUGGCGUGAGAGUGAAGCUGCAGAUCUGGGACACCGCUGGGCAGGAACGGUUCCGAAGCGUCACCCAUGCUUAUUACAGAGACGCCCAGGCCUUGCUUCUGCUGUAUGACAUCACCAACAAAUCUUCUUUCGACAACAUCAGGGCCUGGCUCACUGAGAUUCAUGAGUAUGCGCAGAGGGACGUGGUGAUCAUGCUGCUGGGCAACAAGGUGAGUGGCUCCUGGGCAGGGUCAGCCCAGCCCUGCACUUCCUCAGCCCUAGCCAGCCCCAUAACCACCCAAGAACAGUUAUCUAGUCAUCCUUCCUGAAAAGGACUCUGCAGCCUCCAGCUCAGGGGUCAGACAUAUCUGGAGGCUUCUGCCCAUCCCAUCUGCCCCUUCCAGGGAAAGUCCAAG
rnacentral:sRNA from 1 species